GAUGAACGCUGGCGGCGUGCCUAAUACAUGCAAGUCGAGCGAACAGACGAGGAGCUUGCUCCUCUGACGUUAGCGGCGGACGGGUGAGUAACACGUGGAUAACCUACCUAUAAGACUGGGAUAACUUCGGGAAACCGGAGCUAAUACCGGAUAAUAUAUUGAACCGCAUGGUUCAAUAGUGAAAGACGGUUUUGCUGUCACUUAUAGAUGGAUCCGCGCCGCAUUAGCUAGUUGGUAAGGUAACGGCUUACCAAGGCAACGAUGCGUAGCCGACCUGAGAGGGUGGUCGGCCAGCCGGGAAGUGAGACACGGACCAGACUACUACGGGAGGGAGCAGUGGGGAAUCUUCGACGAAGGGCGAAAGCCUGAAGAAGCAACUCCGGGGGAGAGAUGAAGGUAUUCGGAUCGUAAAACUCUGUUAUUGGGAAAGAACAAAUGUGUAAUGAACAAUGCCCGUCUUGCAGGUGCCUAAUCAGAAAGACACGGCUACCCCGGUC
rnacentral:rRNA from 1 species